UACGUAGGAUCUGAGCGUUGUCCGGAUUUACUGGGUGUAAAGGGUGCGCAGGCGGACUGGUAAGUCAGUGGUGAAAUCUCGUCGCUUAACGACGAAACUGCCUUUGAUACUAUCAGUCUUGAAUCCGGUAGAGAUCUGUGGAAUUCCGAGUGUAGCAGUGAAAUGUGUAGAUAUUCGGAAGAACACCAGUGGCGAAGGCAGCAGAUUGGGCCGGUAUUGACGCUCAGGCACGAAAGCAUGGGGAUCAAACAGG
rnacentral:rRNA from 1 species